AUUGAACGCUGGCGGCAGGCCUAACACAUGCAAGUCGAACGGAGUCGCGGACGGGUGAGUAAUGUCUGGGAAACUGCCCGAUCGAGGGGGAAAACUAAUGGAAACGGUAGCUAAUACCGACUACCAACGGAUGUGCCCAGAUGGGAUUAGCUAGUAGGUGGGGUAAAGGCCUACCAAGGCGACGAUCCGUAACUGGUCUGAGAGGAUGAUCAGUCACACUGGAACUGAGACACGGUCCAGACUCCUACGGGAGGCAGCAGUGGGGAAUAUUGGACAAUGGGCGAAAGCCUGAUCCAGCCAUGCCGCGUGUGUGAAGAAGGUCUUCGGAUUGUAAAGCACUUUAAGUUGGGAGGCGUUACCAACAGAAUAAGCACCGGCUAACUUCGUGCCAGCCGCCGCGGUAAUAC
rnacentral:rRNA from 1 species